AAAUUGAAGAGUUUGAUCAUGGCUCAGAUUGAACGCUGGCGGCAGGCCUAACACAUGCAAGUCGAACGGUAACAGGAAGCAGCUUGCUGCUUCGCUGACGAGUGGCGGACGGGUGAGUAAUGUCUGGGAAGCUGCCUGAUGGAGGGGGAUAACUACUGGAAACGGUGGCUAAUACCGCAUAACGUCGCAAGACCAAAGAGGGGGACCUUCGGGCCUCUUGCCAUCAGAUGUGCCCAGAUGGGAUUAGCUUGUUGGUGAGGUAACGGCUCACCAAGGCGACGAUCCCUAGCUGGUCUGAGAGGAUGACCAGCCACACUGGAACUGAGACACGGUCCAGACUCCUACGGGAGGCAGCAGUGGGGAAUAUUGCACAAUGGGCGCAAGCCUGAUGCAGCCAUGCCGCGUGUAUGAAGAAGGCCUUCGGGUUGUAAAGUACUUUCAGCGGGGAGGAAGGUGUUGUGGUUAAUAACCGCAGCAAUUGACGUUACCCGCAGAAGAAGCACCGGCUAACUCCGUGCCAGCAGCCGCGGUAAUACGGAGGGUGCAAGCGUUAAUCGGAAUUACUGGGCGUAAAGCGCACGCAGGCGGUCUGUCAAGUCGGAUGUGAAAUCCCCGGGCUCAACCUGGGAACUGCAUUCGAAACUGGCAGGCUUGAGUCUUGUAGAGGGGGGUAGAAUUCCAGGUGUAGCGGUGAAAUGCGUAGAGAUCUGGAGGAAUACCGGUGGCGAAGGCGGCCCCCUGGACAAAGACUGACGCUCAGGUGCGAAAGCGUGGGGAGCAAACAGGAUUAGAUACCCUGGUAGUCCACGCCGUAAACGAUGUCUACUUGGAGGUUGUGCCCUUGAGGCGUGGCUUCCGGAGCUAACGCGUUAAGUAGACCGCCUGGGGAGUACGGCCGCAAGGUUAAAACUCAAAUGAAUUGACGGGGGCCCGCACAAGCGGUGGAGCAUGUGGUUUAAUUCGAUGCAACGCGAAGAACCUUACCUGGUCUUGACAUCCACGGAAGUUUUCAGAGAUGAGAAUGUGCCUUCGGGAACCGUGAGACAGGUGCUGCAUGGCUGUCGUCAGCUCGUGUUGUGAAAUGUUGGGUUAAGUCCCGCAACGAGCGCAACCCUUAUCCUUUGUUGCCAGCGGUCCGGCCGGGAACUCAAAGGAGACUGCCAGUGAUAAACUGGAGGAAGGUGGGGAUGACGUCAAGUCAUCAUGGCCCUUACGACCAGGGCUACACACGUGCUACAAUGGCGCAUACAAAGAGAAGCGACCUCGCGAGAGCAAGCGGACCUCAUAAAGUGCGUCGUAGUCCGGAUUGGAGUCUGCAACUCGACUCCAUGAAGUCGGAAUCGCUAGUAAUCGUGGAUCAGAAUGCCACGGUGAAUACGUUCCCGGGCCUUGUACACACCGCCCGUCACACCAUGGGAGUGGGUUGCAAAAGAAGUAGGUAGCUUAACCUUCGGGAGGGCGCUUACCACUUUGUGAUUCAUGACUGGGGUGAAGUCGUAACAAGGUAACCGUAGGGGAACCUGCGGUUGGAUCACCUCCUUA
rnacentral:rRNA from 1 species